rnacentral:rRNA from 1 species
GACGGAAGGUGCAAGCGUUGCUCGGAAUUACUGGGCGUAAAGCGUGCGCAGGCGGCUUUUGCAAGACAGAUGUGAAAUCCCCGGGCUUAACCUGGGAACUGCAUUUGUGACUGCAUGGCUAGAGUGCGGCAGAGGGGGAUGGAAUCCGCGUGUAGCAGUGAAAUGCGUAGAGAUGUGGAGGAAUACCGAUGGCGAAGGCAGCCCCCUGGGCCAAUACUGACGCUCAUGCACGAAAGCGUGGGGAGCAAACAGG